ensembl:lncRNA
CCCACACUAGCCAUGGAUGAGUAAUGGGGGUUGGGGGAUGUGUGUGUGCGAUCACUGAAAGGGACGGAGCAGUGAGUGGUCUUACUGCUCCUCCUGCAGAAGGCAUAGAGGCUCUUGCAGCGAGCCCAAGCUAAGCGUACACGUGGAUAACCAUCUUCCCAUUUUCAAAUAUCCCAAACAAUUGUUGUGCAGGAAUGCUAGUUUCCCCCCAAAAAUAAGGAGGCUGUCAACAAAGGACAACUUUGAACCAUGUAAAGUGUCUUCAGAAGUACUAUUCUUUUUGUAAUAUCACCCGCUGUUUUCAGUUUGAGGACAUUAUUCACUCUCACAUUAUUAUCUGUUUGCAAGAACCUAUUUAAAAUCUGAUACCUCCCCUUUUCUGCCACAAACUUUAGCGCAAUGAUUUAGAUUCUCUGAAACGUUGUUUAUUGGAGAAAAUGGAGCAGUUUGGCUUUGAAUGUGUUGACAGCCAGCAGACACUCAGCGAACCGGUUUAGACAUAUCUGUUGAACCUGUACACACUACACUAUCUGAGACAACAUUAGCACCAAUUCACUUCAAUUUAAAACGCUGUGAAUCUGUGAAAUUAUCGUGCAAUGAUUAAGGUACUAGCCAGGGAUAUUGUAUACAUUUGGCUAUUACCUACUCAAGACUAAAUGUACCGAUUUCGUAGGUUUUCUACACAGGCUAACAGCGCCCUCUGCUGGAUGUUUCAACUCAACAGCUUUACCUCAAGCCUAAUUCCAACACCAAGUGUGUUUUACUUCAUGCACCACCAGUGCACUCGUUACAACUAUCUACGAACUAUUACAACUAUCUGUUUCUGUUACAAUAUAUAUAUAUAUAUAUAUAUAUCUCAUACAUUAUUCUACUACAAAGACAAACUGUCAUACGGUCCCAUCUGAAUGAGAAUCUGAAUUUGAUCCCAUUCCAAAAGUGAACCCAAAACCCCCAUUGAUGGCAUGGUACUCCGAGGAGCUUCAUCCUUUUCCAGUGUACUUCGAGACUUUUAAUAGCAUGCAUCACACAAGUGUGGGCAGCCAGUAACAGCACAAUACUUAAGGAGAAUAUGCAAAGAGAGGCUUAACAAUAAGGUUUCUCCAUACACUUCUUGAGAAUCUUUUUUUUUAAAUAGUCACUUAUAAAGUAAGUUAGUAACACAGCACAAUAAGAACACUGUUGUCCCAAACCUUUAUUGCAGUACUUAAACAGAAAUUUACAAUUGUGACAAAUGUGUAAAAUUCACAAUAACUUAAAAUUGGUCAGCCUAUACAGCAGGAUUCUAUGUAAACCUCUGACACAGGGAAAUGGGGAGCUUAUUGAGUAAGACUCCUGUUCAAAUAUGGCUGCAAUAAAGAUUACGUCCGCGGGAGACUAUGUUAUUGCUAGUUGUGUAAUGGGUUUCCCUUGUAGCAUCAUCCAUUCUCCGCUGCUAAACACCACCUUUUCACAUAUGGCUUUGAAAAAUUAACACUUUUUUUAUACAAUUAAAUGGAAAAUGUUUUCCUCAAGUUUAAAAAUCUAAAACAGACCCAUCUUUCUUUGUCGUAUGUAAAAUGAAACACCCCGUUAAAAAUUCACAGACUUUUAAAAGUGUUGAAUAGAAAAGAUUCUAUUGCAAUAGAAAAACUGAAAAUUCCUAAAAAUUGUUAAAAUCUUGUCUUCUGUUAUGAAAUCAACUGUUUAAUUCCUUGGAAGAGAUUUUGCAAUGCAGUAGUUCCUAAAGUCUAUCGCACAGACAACAUGUAUUCUGGCAGGCCCCAUCCAAACCCAAUGGACACAGAACGCUAACCCAUGAGGGGAGAUCACAAGUGAAACCACAGCAAACACACUUCAGUGGCCGGCGUAGAGACUAACCAAAUGAGCUUUUUUCUAAAAAAAAAUGUUUUAGGUCAAUAUAACAUUAGUCUCUCCAAGCAGCCCGGUGUGACCUUAAACACACCUGAUGCUGAAAACUUUAAAAAAAAAAAAACAGAACACAUAAGUGGAUUUCUACUUUUGUAGCGAUUUGAGAGCGACUGAGCUGACAUUCUCUUCUACAUCUUUACAGCAUCUCUUUGUGGAGGUCUUGUAUUACAUUUUUCUUUCAGGAAAGCAAACAUGCACUACCAAAAACUAACAUACACAAGACAAAUGAAUUCAACACUCUGCUGUACACUGAGGGAGUUUCCCACAAACACAAUCGAGAGGGACAUGGUCUAGUCAGCACAUUCAUGGCAUCACCUCACGGCCUUACUGUUGGAUAGUUUACACAAGAUGGGGACAUUGAUCGUACACAGACGCUCACUCCUGAAUGCAAACCUAGGUAGCUCAUUUAAACGGUCAGCUUCAACAUAUGCCCUUGACCAUGCAGACGUCCCAUGAGAACCACAUCUCUCUCUCCCUCACACAGAGUUUGGCUCAAACUCACACAGCUGGGGUAGUCAAGUCUGUGGCUCAGAAGCUCAAAAGCAUCGCCUUGAACAGGCCCACUGUGUAAGAGGUACAGCUGAGUCUCUAUAUCCAUCCUCACCCUAAGUCAGAGCAGUGGUAUAUUCAACAUGUCACGAGAGAUAAAAGGUCAACUGAGUGAGAACAGAUAGAGAGGUAACAAACAGAUAACGGGCUCUUUGAUAGCCAAUGUAAUAGCUUAGCAUGAGAAAGAGCACAUUCAACAAGAAAUAGCCGUGUUCAGUUUUUUUCAGUAUGUACAUCAAACAACCAGAAUUGAAAAAGACUUAAGAAGGAUCGAUCUAGGGGGUGGUGAAAAAUGAGACUCAAAUCACAGAAAAAAAGGGGGUCUCUUACUCUCCAACCCAUACAUACACACACGCACACACAUACACACACUUAUGCCUCAGAAAUGAUUGUUCAGCAAAAUAUUAUGCUUACACUCUUGUACACAAACCAGUACAUACACCCUCAUACACAGAAAACCUGAAGAAAUAUCCAAGUUUACCUGCCAGCAUAGACAUGCCUUUGAUAUGCAUCAACAUGAAGUGUAGACUCAGUACAUACUGGUAAUACAAAAACAUCACUGCUGAAGAUCAGUGCAGCUUUGCAUAGUAGCUUCACAUUAAACGGACAAACCUUGGUUUAACAUUCCAAAGCGAGACUCAGCUCAGUUUACAAUUUGAACUGCUGAUCUCUGUUUGGGUGAUAAUGUGAAGAACAGAAAGAGCAAAGCAACAUGUACCUCUGCCGUAUACACAGGAAAGAAAACAGAAAAACUAUCUAUCAUCAAAAAUACGAAAAAACUGUCUGAAGGGAAUGUUGCUUAACUACAGUAUUGGUGAAAGUUCCUUGGAAAAAAAGAUGUUAGGAUAUUUCUACAGCAAACUAAACAAAACCAAAGAAAACUAAUGAAAUAAAAACAAAAAAAAACCCUCAAAGAAUUGUGAAGUAUCCAAUAAACAAACGCCACCCCCUAAAACAGUAUAGAAAUGAUUUCUCAGAGAACAUGGAACAGCACUAGUUUCCUCUUGUUGUGUUGGUGGUGGUGGUGGGGGAUACUCUGCUCAGGUCGAGUGGAAUGUGAUGUGGACAGGUCCUCACGCCUCCGCCCCCCAGCAGGAACCCCAGCUUUACGUUUCUACACACAAAUACAAAACACAAAAGACAAAUUCAGCUUUGUUGCCAGCUACUAUUUCUUAUUGUUUUUGUUAACAUUGCAAAUAUGAAAAUGAAUGCUACGACUCCAACGGGUUUUACAGGAGCCUUCCAACCACAGCAAUAGCAGAGAGAGAGAGAGAGAGGGUUCAAAACAGUGAGAGAGAG